rnacentral:rRNA from 1 species
UACAGAGGUCCCGAGCGUUGUUCGGAUUCACUGGGCGUAAAGGGUGCGUAGGUGGCGUGGUAAGUUUGAUGUGAAAGCUCAGGGCUUAACCCUGAAAUGGCAUUGAAUACUACUGUGCUGGAGGUUUGGAGGGGGGACUGGAAUUCUUGGUGUAGCAGUGAAAUGCGUAGAUAUCAAGAGGAACACCAGUGGCGAAGGCGAGUCCCUGGACAACACCUGACACUGAGGCACGAAAGCGUGGGGAUCAAACAGG